AUCGAGCUGACGAGUCCCAAAUAGGACGAAACACGCUUCAAAUUUGAU
rnacentral:hammerhead_ribozyme from 1 species